GCGUCGGAUUGGACUGGUCGUGUCCGUGUGUCUCCUGCUACAACCCGUCGAACAUUACGCGACCCGAGACCCGAGUUUGUCGGUGUGUCCGGUGCGCGGGCGCCGGAGCGAGACGUUCCGGUCUGCCAGCUGCAGCGCUGAUGUUUCGACACUACAUACAAUGGUGGAUCUGGUGAGAUAUGAAGUGCGGCGCUUGCCGUGAUCGGCGGAGCGACGCGCCCUCUCGUUCCACGCCGCCGCCCACCCGGUCGACAACCUGCAGCUACAGGUACCAACGGUGAAACGCCAUCUCUUAUGAUUAUCUUAUCUAGAUAAAAAUAA